rnacentral:misc_RNA from 1 species
AAGUCGUAACAAGGUUUUCCGUAGGUUGAAUCCUUGCGGAAGGAUCAUUACCGAGUUGGCCGACGCCCCCGCGUCCCGAAUUCCACCCUUGAUGUACCGAAGCCACUGUUGCUUUGGCCGGCCCCCGGGCCGGCCAGAGGUCCCCAAACCCCGGAAUCCGCGCCGUCUGAGUACCACGCAAUCGCGAAAAA